rnacentral:misc_RNA from 1 species
AACGCACAUUGCGCCCGCCAGUAUUCUGGCGGGCAUGCCUGUUCGAGCGUCAUUUCAACCAUCAAGCGCCAGCGCUUGUGUUGGAGCCCUGCGGCUGCCGCAGGCUCCCAAACCCAGUGGCGGGCUCGUCGUCGUACCGAGUGCAGUAAACAUACCACGCUCAGGGCACGCGACGGGUGACCGGCCGUAAAAACCCCCAACUUCUCCAGGUUGACCUCGGAUCAGGUAGGAAUACCCGCUGAACUUAA